AUGCAAGUCGAGGGGUAUAGUUCUUCGGAACUAGAGGCCGGCGCACGGGUGCGUAACGCGUAUGCAAUCUACCUUUCACAGAGGGAUAGCCCAGAGAAAUUUGGAUUAAUACCUCAUAGUAUAUCGAGUUGGCAUCAACAUGAUAUUAAAGUCACAACGGUGAAAGAUGAGCAUGCGUCCCAUUAGCUAGUUGGUAAGGUAACGGCUUACCAAGGCAACGAUGGGUAGGGGUCCUGAGAGGGAGAUCCCCCACACUGGUACUGAGACACGGACCAGACUCCUACGGGAGGCAGCAGUGAGGAAUAUUGGACAAUGGGCGCAAGCCUGAUCCAGCCAUGCCGCGUGCAGGAUGACGGUCCUAUGGAUUGUAAACUGCUUUUGCACAGGAAGAAACACUACUUCGUGAAGUAGCUUGACGGUACUGUGAGAAUAAGGAUCGGCUAACUCCGUGCCAGCAGCCGCGGUAAUACGGAGGAUCCAAGCGUUAUCCGGAAUCAUUGGGUUUAAAGGGUCCGUAGGCGGUUUAGUAAGUCAGUGGUGAAAGCCCAUCGCUCAACGGUGGAACGGCCAUUGACACUGCUAAACUUGAAUUAUUAGGAAGUAACUAGAAUAUGUAGUGUAGCGGUGAAAUGCUUAGAGAUUACAUGGAAUACCAAUUGCGAAGGCAGGUUACUACUAAUGGAUUGACGCUGAUGGACGAAAGCGUGGGUAGCGAACAGGAUUAGAUACCCUGGUAGUCCACGCCGUAAACGAUGGAUACUAGCUGUUGGGAGCAAUCUCAGUGGCUAAGCGAAAGUGAUAAGUAUCCCACCUGGGGAGUACGUUCGCAAGAAUGAAACUCAAAGGAAUUGACGGGGCCGCACAGCGGUGGAGCAUGUGGUUUAUUCGAUGAUACGCGAGGAACCUUACCAAGGCUUAAUGUAGAUUGACCGG
rnacentral:rRNA from 1 species